GUGAGGAAUAUUGCGCAAUGGACGAAAGUCUGACGCAGCCAUGCCGCGUGAAGGAUUGACGGCCCUAUGGGUUGUAAACUUCUUUUGUAUAGGAAUAAACCCUCGUUCGUGAACGAGGCUGAAGGUACUAUAAGAAUAAGCACCGGCUAACUCCGUGCCAGCAGCCGCGGUAAUACGGAGGGUGCAAGCGUUAUCCGGAUUUAUUGGGUUUAAAGGGUCCGUAGGCGGAUCGUUAAGUCAGUGGUGAAAUCCUACCGCUCAACGGUAGAACUGCCAUUGAUACUGGCGAUCUUGAGUAUGUAUGAAGUUGGCGGAAUGUGUGGUGUAGCGGUGAAAUGCUUAGAUAUCACACAGAACACCGAUUGCGAAGGCAGCUGACUAAUACACAACUGACGCUGAGGGACGAAAGUGUGGGGAUCAAACAGGAUUAGAAACCCUAGUAGUCC
rnacentral:rRNA from 1 species